UGGGGAAUUUUGGACAAUGGGCGAAAGCCUGAUCCAGCAAUGCCGCGUGUGUGAAGAAGGCCUUCGGGUUGUAAAGCACUUUUGUCCGGAAAGAAAUCCUUGGCUCUAAUACAGUCGGGGGAUGACGGUACCGGAAGAAUAAGCACCGGCUAACUACGUGCCAGCAGCCGCGGUAAUACGUAGGGUGCAAGCGUUAAUCGGAAUUACUGGGCGUAAAGCGUGCGCAGGCGGUUUGCUAAGACCGAUGUGAAAUCCCCGGGCUCAACCUGGGAACUGCAUUGGUGACUGGCAGGCUAGAGUAUGGCAGAGGGGGGUAGAAUUCCACGUGUAGCAGUGAAAUGCGUAGAGAUGUGGAGGAAUACCGAUGGCGAAGGCAGCCCCCUGGGCCAAUACUGACGCUCAUGCACGAAAAGCGUGGGGAGCAAACAGGAUUAGAUACCCUGGUAGUCCCACGCCCUAAACGAUGUCAACUAGUUGUUGGGGAUUCAUUUCCUUAGUAACGUAGCUAACGCGUGAAGUUGACCGCCUGGGGAGUACGGUCGCAAGAUUAAAACUCAAAGGAAUUGACGGGGU
rnacentral:rRNA from 1 species